rnacentral:piRNA from 2 species
UGGGCCCAGGAGACAAAGCCUGCAUGGGAGA